GAAAAGUGUUCGCUGACAGGUAUUGCGAUUGUUUUUGUCUUUUUUAUCAUUUUUUCUAAGAGUUCAUUUGAGAGCUUAGUGAUGGUGUAGUUUCAUCCACAUAGUAGUUGUUGGGGCAUUUGAUGCACUGAAUGAGGUACACCACAUGUUGUGAUAGGCAUGUGUAGGACCCAUGGAUCCUGAAAGUUGUGUUUUGCAGGGGGAGUAAUUAAUCCUCGUAGCAGUUUGUGUGUCCAGGCUUGCAGGUGUUGUGACUGUUUGUGCUGGUAGGGUUUGGUUCCACUUUGAGUUGGUAUGUCCUGGUCUGUGGGAAGCUUGCUUUUGAUGAUGAGCUUGGCAGGUUGGUAGGCAGUUGUUUGAAGGCUACAAGAGGUUUUGGGAAAAUUUUCUUUCAGGAAGUGGUCCCUAUCAAGUAUGGAUUGUAAUUAUUUGAUACCCUGUAUGGGUUCUGUUUUGGGGUGGUAGGUGACAGCUAGGGGUGUGCAGUCAGUGGGGCUUUUUCUGUAUUGAAGCAGGUUCUCACAGGGUAUUUGGUGGCCAUUCCAUGAUAUGAUCUACUUCUCUGGUGGGCGAGUCCUUGUUCGGUGGAGGUGAUUUUUAGUGAGUUUAGGUGUGUACCCUAGACUUCCUCUUUUGAGCAAAUUGAGUACCUGUCUGUACAUAAAAUAUCUUGAUGUAUCUGGGGUGGUCACUGGAUGUAUGGUGAUCCAUGGGUUUCUUGUAUAUAGUUGUGUGUAGUGUUCCAUUGCUCAAGCUUUUAUUGUGGUGUCCAGAAAGUUGAUGCUAGAGUUGGAGUAUUCCAGAGAGUUCAUUGGAGGGUGGUGGUAGUGGUUGUCCUUGUGGUGGAAGUCUGAGGGAGUUCAGGUCAUCUGUCCAGAGGAUUAAAAUAUCAUUGAUGUAUAUUGUUAGUUUCGUGGUGCAUUUUUCUACUCCAUUUUAAGUGGUCUCCUGCAUCAUGUGAGAAUCUCUUAUGCUUAACAAUCUGUCCCACCUUAUAUUUAUUCUGGACACUUUGCUACCUUCUGCAGACCUGAGAAAGAGCUCUGUGAACCUUGAAAGCUUGUCCUGUCCACCAACAGAAGUUGGUCCAAUAAAAGAUAUUCUCACCUACCUUGUCUUUCUCAUAUCUUGGGGUCAACACAACAGUGCUGCAAACAACAUUUUUUUAUGUCUUUCUGUCUGCAAAACCAGUUUCUCUUUAAUCAAUUGUACACCUCAGGAGGAUAAAUUAAAUUAUCCCAAAAAACAGUGUACUUUUCUGCUAAAUAUGAUUUUAGCUUUCAUAUAUUGACAAGUGAGAGAGACAGAAGUAGUUUCAUUUGAAAGCUGGUAAUUUUCCGUCUUCAAUUAUAUGCUAUUUUUUGAUGAUCCUGGUAAAAAGAUACCAAACUUGAACCUGUCAUCGACCAGGGGUUUUGUUGAGGGGAAGCUCCAUAUUUCGGGGAAAUAUUUUUGUGGAACAUGUUAGUUGCAGCUGCCUUAAGAUGCUUGUGGAUUGUUAGAAGUAGGCCCAGUGGGCAGAGUGCAGAUGAGUUAGUCAACAUACUACAUGUUUGUCAUAUGACUGGCUUCACGUCAUUUCACUAGCACAUGUACACAAUAUGCAGAUAUUGAUUUAGUCUAUGCUGGCAUCCAAAAUGUGCUCCCAAAUAAGAGAAACUGUCUCUGUCUUAAGAAUGUACUGCCUCAGACCAGAGCGUGGAGAAAAGGGAUACAGUAUACAAGCAAAGUGCUAAAGGGAAUGGAUACACAUACAUCUUACUAGUAAUAUGUUCAACAUGCUAAAUUUCCCAUCCUAAAAUAUCAAUUAAUUUUUUGUAAAGUGUUAUGGGAACUAUUUGGCUGAAAGUGAUCUAAAAACACAAGUGUGUUAUCUUGGCACAAGUGCAUACCUAUAUCUGCUGCUUUACUUUAUACACAAGCCACUGAAAUAAAUAUAUAAUAUAAAGUUUACUUUUCAGAAAGGAAGCUCAAGGUAUAACAAAUUAAUUAACCAAGUUGAGACAUACAUUUUCUCUAGCUUCCUUUAGCACUGUUACAGGUAAGGUUUUGUUUGCGCUUUGGUUAUAACCCUCAUGAGUGGAGUGGCCAACAGGUGAAUGUUGAUAGUGUUUCAGAAGUUAAAAUGACAUAAAUUUAGGUCCUUGCAUGCAAAGUACCUAAUUCCUCUUGCAGGUGCCUGUUCUCAUGGAGCACUUACCUGGUGUCUUAGAACUACUUAAAAUAGUAAUUGUUAGGGCUGCAUGCACAGCCUAUCCAUGGAACUGAAGGUUGGAGGUAUAGUUAUAAAAAGUAGAGUUGGUUGAGAUUUUUCAUUAAAAUUUUUUUUAAGAAAAAUGGCUUUUUCAUUUAAACUGAUAUUUGCAAGGGAAAUGUCAAUUUUUAAUGAAAGCUUUUGGGUUUUCAUUGAAAAAACAAGCUCAAACAUCUUUGAUAUUUAGCUUGGAAAAAAAUGGCUUUUGGCUGUUUGAAAACUUUAAGAAAAAUUUCAAUACCAAAAAGUAAUUAGUCCACAGUCCUAAUUGCUGUGGUGUUCCGGUGUAAGUUUCAGGUGUACAAAAAACACAACUACCUCUCCUUUAGUGUGUUUUGACUCUGUACCUCUUUUAUUUUGUAAUUUAAAUAUUUUAUUUCAUAAAAAAUAUUUCAGUUGCUGCCAUCAUGCAGUUAUUUCUGAUCUCUGUAAAAUGAGAAUCGUGAAAGAAAAUUGGAAGUUAAAAUAACUCCUCUUUACAAGUUACUUUGUGUCUUACAGGGAUAAAAGAGGGGCCCUUUGGGUAUAUUUAUGCUGCAAUUAAACACCUGCAGCUGACCUGGGCUGCAAGGCUGUAAAGUUGUGGUGUAGACAUUCAGGCUCAGCCUGGAGCUCAGGUUCCUGAGACCCUCUCCCCGCAUGGGGUCACAGAACCUGGGCUCCAGGCUGAGCCCGAACGUCUACACUGCAGUUAUGCAGCCUGAGCCUCAUGAGCCCGAGUCUGCUGACGUGGGUCAGCUGCAUGUGUUUAAUUGCAGUGUAGAUAUAUCCUGUGUCAUCUUAGAACUGUACUUUACCCCGUCCCAAUGGCAUCACUGAAUAAUUUCCCCAUUAAUUCCUUCAUACUGUCAGCAAAAGUGCCUGGGAAGUGUUUGCAGAGGAAGGGGACUGCAGGGAGAGAGUCUGCAGCAACUCUGUGUGAGCAGAGAGAGAAGAGGAGGAGAAAACCCAAGAGGGAGAAUAAACACUGUGGUUCUAGCCCUGGAGGAAGGGUCACUCCCAGAAGAGUUGUGGUGAAAGAAAACCUGAGGGCAAGAUGUAACAUCUUCCGGUUUCUUAAGCUCUGGUUCAGUACCCAGCAUAGUAGAUGCUGCUUCCCUGGAAGCCUGAGGCACAGCUGCAGUGUUCCUUACCUGCACCAGUGGUUUCACCAUUUUGGUAUCCAGGUCACUGAGAUUUAUUACUCAGCAAACAAUUGUGAAAAUUGUUGGAUCAUGGCAUGAACAGCCCCCUACCCUCUUAGGUAAGAAUGGGAAAAAAACUACUCAAUUUUGUGUGCGCGAUGAAGAACCUCACCUGCCUUGAUUCAAGAACCUCACCUGCCUUGAUUAUUUAGCGGAACUUCCCAAGAAAGUACAGCACUGUGAAGCUGCAGGCUUUUGUCCUGGGAUAUUCCUUUCAAUAGACAUGUAAACAUUUCAGGGUAGGUAUUAUCAGUUUUAUUGUCUCUAAAUGGUGAUUUAUGUCCUUAUUUCUGCAUUAUUGUCCACAAGGUUCUGCCCUGUGUCACAGGCCUGUAACACCUAAUUUUUGUAGACUGUUUCAUUUUCAUUAGCGUAGCCGUUUUAGGUUGUGAUCAUUGCACUGCAACUCAUUGAUAAUCUAAGAGAGUAUUAGAUUCAUAGUACUGCCAUCUAACCCUGUCAGUCUGGCUCAUUGACCUCUCAGCUUCAAAACAUGGGGUUUAUUUUUUUUUUCUAAACCCAAGGCAGCCUUCCAUCCAUUUUCACACACAUUGUGAGCAGUUUAAAGGUUGGUCAGAACCGAAUAUUGCUCUUUCAAAUUUGAUAAUAUAUGAGUACAGAACUGUGACCUUUGAUACAUAGUAAUACAUCAACAUGACAUGAGCAGUAAGUGCAGCAAUUACCUUUACUACACUUGAGAUUGUGUUUCAGCUUUCCUCUUGUAAGCAAUUAUGUCAGGAAAAAAAAGAGGGUCUAAGUUAAAUAUAUUUUGCAAAUGCAGAAAUGGGUACAAUCUUGGGAAACUUUCUGAUAAUGUGAGGGUGAAUUUUUUUUCAAGAGAAUCCUGGCUUUUAAAUUAACAUAGUUCAGUAGCAGAAAGAUGUGAGCUCUUGCUCCUGUGCAGUUGGCAUUUUGUUGCAAUACUGUUUUCUGAGAGAGGUAAUUUUCUAGGCUAUUUAAUGCCAUUGUUUCAAUACAGUGAAAAGCUCUAUAGUGUUAUCCAUACUCUGGUUCCCAGCUAAGCCAAUCCUUCAAGCACGUACACUUGCAACUUUAGCUGCCCGAGUAUGCCUUGAAUGGGAUGAUUCACACUAGUCAAGUUACUCAUAUACACAAGUGUUUGCAGGAUAAGGCCUUACAUUUCCAAAGACCAAUUCCUAUUUAUUUUUAGGUGAAUUUCAUUUUUUAAGUGAUGUUUAGGACUCAAUGAUCGACUGAAGAAAAACAUAGACGGGGGCACUAUAAGCUGCCUCAGCAACGUGUCUCAUCUUUAACCUACCCCAACCAGGAGGAAGCUAGUUUAAUGUCUGUGUCCAUUCCUUCCCUAACCUAUUUUUGUAUUGUGAUAGCGCCUCUUGGUCCUAGUGCCUCUGUGUUAGGUACUGUAUGUUUAUACUGUAUGUUUAUACAUAACAAGUUAGUCCUGCCCCAAAGAGUUAACAGUUUCUAGACACUUCUAAAAUGAGUGCCAGGGGUGGCUUCUAUACUGUGGACACCUGUCCACUAAGAAUUAAGCUGAGAUCACCAGGUCAUUUUCAACAAGCAACUGAAUAACUGUCAGUGCCUUUCUAUCACUACUGUCAUGGACAAAAUUCAAAGUGAUGAUCUAGAAGAAAAUCCCAUUACACUCGUCUACAAUUUUUGAGAAGUCGUCUGCUUCAGAGAUAAAAUGUGAUAUUUAUUAUGUAUUUUGAU